AGAGUUUGAUCCUGGCUCAGAUUGAACGCUGGCGGUAUGCUUAACACAUGCAAGUCGAACGGUAACAGGCCUUCGGGCGCUGACGAGUGGCGGACGGGUGAGUAACGCGUAGGAAUCUGCCUCAUAGUGGGGGACAACUUGGGGAAACUCAAGCUAAUACCGCAUACGCCCUACGGGGGAAAGCGGGGGACCUUCGGGCCUCGCGCUAUGAGAUGAGCCUGCGUUAGAUUAGCUAGUUGGUGGGGUAAAGGCCUACCAAGGCGACGAUCUAUAGCUGGUCUGAGAGGACGAUCAGCCACACUGGGACUGAGACACGGCCCAGACUCCUACGGGAGGCAGCAGUGGGGAAUAUUGGACGAUGGGCGCAAGCCUGAUCCAGCAAUACCGCGUGUGUGAAGAAGGCCUGAGGGUUGUAAAGCACUUUCAAUUGGGAGGAAAACCUGUCGGUCAAUACCCGGCAGCUUGACAUUACCUUUAGAAGAAGCACCGGCUAACUCCGUGCCAGCAGCCGCGGUAAUACGGAGGGUGCGAGCGUUAAUCGGAAUUACUGGGCGUAAAGCGUGCGUAGGCGGUUAUUUAAGUCAGAUGUGAAAGCCCCGGGCUUAACCUGGGAACUGCAUUUGAUACUGGGUAACUAGAGUUUAGUAGAGGAGAGUGGAAUUUCAGGUGUAGCGGUGAAAUGCGUAGAGAUCUGAAGGAACACCAGUGGCGAAGGCGACUCUCUGGACUAAAACUGACGCUGAGGUACGAAAGCGUGGGUAGCAAACAGGAUUAGAUACCCUGGUAGUCCACGCCGUAAGCGAUGUCAACUAGCCGUUGGGCCUUUUAACAGGCUUAGUGGCGCAGCUAACGCAUUAAGUUGACCGCCUGGGGAGUACGGCCGCAAGGUUAAAACUCAAAUGAAUUGACGGGGGCCCGCACAAGCGGUGGAGCAUGUGGUUUAAUUCGAUG
rnacentral:rRNA from 1 species